rnacentral:rRNA from 1 species
UACGUAGGUGGCAAGCGUUAUCCGGAUUUAUUGGGCGUAAAGGGAACGCAGGCGGUCUUUUAAGUCUGAUGUGAAAGCCUUCGGCUUAACCGGAGUAGUGCAUUGGAAACUGGGAGACUUGAGUGCAGAAGAGGAGAGUGGAACUCCAUGUGUAGCGGUGAAAUGCGUAGAUAUAUGGAAGAACACCAGUGGCGAAAGCGGCUCUCUGGUCUGUAACUGACGCUGAGGUUCGAAAGCGUGGGUAGCAAACA